rnacentral:rRNA from 1 species
GAUGAACGCUGGCGGCGUGCCUAAUACAUGCAAGUCGAGCGAACAGACGAGGAGCUUGCUCCUUUGACGUUAGCGGCGGACGGGUGAGUAACACGUAGGUAACCUACCUCUAAGACUGGGAUAACUUCGGGAAACCGGAGCUAAUACCGGAUAAUAUUUCGAACCGCAUGGUUCGAUAGUGAAAGAUGGCUUUGCUAUCACUUAUAGAUGGACCUGCGCCGUAUUAGCUAGUUGGUAAGGUAACGGCUUACCAAGGCAACGAUACGUAGCCGACCUGAGAGGGUGAUCGGCCACACUGGAACUGAGACACGGUCCAGACUCCUACGGGAGGCAGCAGUAGGGAAUCUUCCGCAAUGGGCGAAAGCCUGACGGAGCAACGCCGCGUGGGUGAUGAAGGUCUUCGGAUCGUAAAACUCUGUUAUUAGGGAAGAACAAACGUGUAAGUAACUGUGCACGUCUUGACGGUACCUAAUCAGAAAGCCACGGCUAACUACGUG